GACGAACGCUGGCGGCGUGCUUAACACAUGCAAGUCGUACGGGCUUGGGGGGCGAACUCUCAAGUCAGUGGCGAACGGGUGCGUAACACGUGAGCAACUUGCCCUAUGGUGGGGGAGUAGCCGGCCCAACGGCCGGGUAAUACCGCAUAUGGCGCCGGGGUCACAUGGCCCUGGUGGGAAAGCGGCCGCAAGGUCGCGCCAAAGGUGGGGCUCGCGACGUAUCAGCUAGUUGGCGGGGUAACGGCCCACCAAGGCUACGACGCGUAGCUGGUCUGAGAGGAUGGCCAGCCACAUUGGGACUGAGAUACGGCCCAGACUCCUACGGGAGGCAGCAGUGGGGAAUAUUGCGCAAUGGCCGCAAGGCUGACGCAGCGACGCCGCGUGUGGGAU
rnacentral:rRNA from 1 species